rnacentral:rRNA from 1 species
GUUACUUCGGUACAUCGGUGACAGGUGGUGCAUGGUUUGUCGUCAGCUCGUGUCGUGAGAUGUUGGGUUAAGUCCCGCAACGAGCGCAACCCCUAUUGUUAGUUGCCAUCAUUCAGUUGGGCACUCUAGCGAGACUGCCGGUAAUAAACCGGAGGAAGGUGGGGAUGACGUCAAAUCAUCAUGCCCCUUAUGACCUGGGCUACACACGUGCUACAAUGGUUGGUACAACGAGUUGCGAGUCGGUGACGGCGAGCUAAUCUCUUAAAGCCAAUCUCAGUUCGGAUUGUAGGCUGCAACUCGCCUACAUGAAGUCGGAAUCGCUAGUAAUCGCGGAUCAGCACGCCGCGGUGAAUACGUUCCCGGGCCUU